rnacentral:rRNA from 1 species
UGCAAGUCGAACGGGCGUAGCAAUACGUCAGUGGCAGACGGGUGAGUAACGCGUGGGAACGUACCUUUUGGUUCGGAACAACUGAGGGAAACUUCAGCUAAUACCGGAUAAGCCCUUGCGGGGAAAGAUUUAUCGCCGAAAGAUCGGCCCGCGUCUGAUUAGCUAGUUGGUGAGGUAAUGGCUCACCAAGGCGACGAUCAGUAGCUGGUCUGAGAGGAUGAUCAGCCACAUUGGGACUGAGACACGGCCCAAACUCCUACGGGAGGCAGCAGUGGGGAAUAUUGGACAAUGGGGGCAACCCUGAUCCAGCCAUGCCGCGUGAGUGAUGAAGGCCCUAGGGUUGUAAAGCUCUUUUGUGCGGGAAGAUAAUGACGGUACCGCAAGAAUAAGCCCCGGCUAACUUCGUGCCAGCAGCCGCGGUAAUACGAAGGGGGCUAGCGUUGCUCGGAAUCACUGGGCGUAAAGGGUGCGUAGGCGGGUUUCUAAGUCAGAGGUGAAAGCCUGGAGCUCAACUCCAGAACUGCCUUUGAUACUGGAAGUCUUGAGUAUGGCAGAGGUGAGUGGAACUGCGAGUGUAGAGGUGAAAUUCGUAGAUAUUCACAAGAACACCAGUGGCGAA